UAAACGGGCCAAGUGACACUAUUAUAAUUGUCAUUUUUUAUGAUAUGUGUAGUACCAAAAAUGUGUAGUACUCUUGCUAGAGAAGGCAUUGAGUAGACUUCCAGAAGGUAAAGAAGAGAUACUUGGAAUAUUUGAUCUUCACGGAUUUAGUUUGAAGAAUUCAGAUCUUAAAUUCUUGACAUUUUUGUUUGAUGUGUUGUAUUAUUAUUACCCGAGACGGUUGGGGCAAGUGCUAUUUGUGGAAGCUCCGUUUGUAUUUCAGCCAAUUUGGCAGUUUGCCAAGCCCUUAGUAAAGUCGUAUGCUUCUCUGGUAUACUUUUUACACCG